UACGUAGGGUGCGAGCGUUGCCCGGAUUUAUUGGGCGUAAAGGGCGCGUAGGCGGCUACGCACGUCCGUUGUGAAAUCGCCCGGCUCAACUGGGCGAGGUCGGCGGAUACGGCGUGGCUGGAGCAAGCUAGGGGGCAAUGGAAUUCCCGGUGUAGUGGUGGAAUGCGUAGAUAUCGGGAGGAACACCAGUGGCGAAGGCGGUUGCCUGGAGCUUUGCUGACGCUGAGGCGCGAAAGCGUGGGGAGCGAUCCGG
rnacentral:rRNA from 1 species